ensembl:lncRNA
GUCUCAGGCCUUACCCCCAGAGCAGCUACUUCCUCCUAAAUACCUCUAAGCCCUCAUAUCUUGGGCCUUUAGUUUUAGCACCUGGGCUGCCAUGCUUUUGCUCCUAGUUACGCUGUUUCCACCACCUCCAUCUGGGGAUCUCUGUGGAAGUGAAACCGCACCGCAGAUGGGACUCAAGCCCUAUUGUGCCUCAGAUGGGACUUGAACCUACAAUCUUUAGCUUAGGAAAGGGGUUUGAACCCCAAAUCUCCCAGCUGAAACUGCAUACGUCGUCUCAGGACUUAAAGAAGCUCAGGUUCUUUGAGUCUUGGCGAGAAAGAAUUCGUCGUAUGUGGGAUCUAACCUGCACCCUCUGCCCUGGACCACCAGUUUGGAAGGUUAGAAGUCUGGACAUCAGGGUGCUGGCCACAUUACUUCAGGAGGCUCUAGAGGAGAAUGGAUUUCCUUGCCUUUUUCAGCUAUAGGCUGCCUACAUUCUUUGGCUCAUGGCCCCUCCUUAUGUCUUCAAAGCCUUGAAUGUAGCAUCUUUCAAUCUCUCUCCCAUC